AUACGGAGGGUGCGAGCGUUAAUCGGAAUUACUGGGCGUAAAGCGUGCGUAGGCGGUUUGCUAAGUCAGAUGUGAAAGCCCCGGGCUUAACCUGGGAACUGCAUUUGAUACUGGCAGACUAGGGUAUGAUAGAGGGGGGUAGAAUUCCUGGUGUAGCGGUGAAAUGCGUAGAUAUCAGGAGGAAUACCAGUGGCGAAGGCGGCCCCCUGGAUCAAUACUGACGCUGAGGUACGAAAGCGUGGGGAGCGAACAGGAUUAGAAACCCUAGUAGUCC
rnacentral:rRNA from 1 species